rnacentral:rRNA from 1 species
UUGAAAGGGAAACGAUUGAAGUCAGUCAUGCCGGCGGGAAUCAACUUAGGGGAAACUCUGAGUGCACUUCUUCGCUUGGCAGGUUAGCGUCGAUUUUGGAUGUCAUAAAAUGACUGGGGGAAGGUAGCUCUUUCGGGAGUGUUAAGCCCUUAGUAGAUGUGAUGUCCGGGAUCGAGGAUUGCAACGGAUACCUUUUGGGCUAACCGCCUAGUCUCUAAUAUGAAGUUGGGUUAUGGACAGCACGCUGCCUUGAUCUGAUUUUCGAUUAAAAGAUUAGAGCGAGUGUCAUGCGUUAAGGAUGUUGACGUA